AACGAACGCUGGCGGCAGGCUUAACACAUGCAAGUCGAGCGCCCCGCAAGGGGAGCGGCAGACGGGUGAGUAACGCGUGGAAUCUACCUAUCACUACGGAACAACUCCGGGAAACUGGAGCUAAUACCGUAUACGUCCGAGAGGAGAAAGAUUUAUCGGUGAUAGAUGAGCCCGCGUUGGAUUAGCUAGUUGGUGGGGUAAUGGCCUACCAAGGCGACGAUCCAUAGCUGGUCUGAGAGGAUGAUCAGCCACACUGGGACUGAGACACGGCCCAGACUCCUACGGGAGGCAGCAGUGGGGAAUAUUGGACAAUGGGCGAAAGCCUGAUCCAGCCAUGCCGCGUGAGUGAUGAAGGCCUUAGGGUUGUAAAGCUCUUUCACCGGUGAAGAUAAUGACGGUAACCGGAGAAGAAGCCCCGGCUAACUUCGUGCCAGCAGCCGCGGUAAU
rnacentral:rRNA from 1 species